GCCCCUCGCCUCCCCUUCCUUCUCUCCCAUGCCCCAGUCCCCCACCCUCUGCCCAUCUGUUUGUGUGGAGAAUCACCUAAGGUCAACGCAAACCCCACACGGCGACCACCCAUCUGCCAGGACCAUCCCUCCAAGUCCCCUCCCUCCUCCUCCUCCCCCUCCCCCAGGUGGCCGCCUCAAGGACCUUGACGCUCAGCCCGGCCGAGACAGGCACCUGGGGACAGCCGGCUCCAGCCCAGCUAGCCUCACCCAGGACGUGGCUUCACUCCUCCGCCCAGGCCCCGGCAGGGCUCCGGGCCCCAGGGGGCGCAAGCCUCCUCCGUACCCACACGACGGUCACCAAGAGCGGGUUAGGAAAGGGAAGGAGCCCCGGAGAGAGGCUCCACCAUACCCUGUGAAGAGACGGCUGCUCUCGACCACGGUGUGAGGGAGAAGAGGCAGUGGGGGGGCAACGGAGCCGGGCAAGGCUGGACGAGCCUCGGAGUAGAGGGUGUGAGAGUGAUUUAAGACUCGCCAAGUAGAGACACUGGCCAAGUUUCCAAGGUGACGGAAGGUGUCUGAGCAGGCAGCAAGAGAGGAUCGGUGGUGGGGGAGGGGUCCAAGACGUUCAGACGGGGGCCCCAGCUGCCCCCCCCCCCCCCCCCCAGAGGGAGAAGGCACAGGCUGGGCCUGCUGGAUCAGCUGUAGUAGCAGCACGAUCCUGCAGCACAGCAUUCAGGGGAUCUGGGACUCUGCUCUUGGAUCAGUGCCACCAGGCAAGCUCAAUCAAACGAGGAUGGAGCAAAGGCUAUGAGGAGGAUGAGGAGUAUCUGGUUUCAUCUGGAUGAGCAGCGCACACCUGGGUCUGGGCGUCCUCCAAGACAAGCUGUCCGAAUGCUGAGCUCAUUUUCAGGAGUUAAGGGUGGAUCUGAAGACCAGAUCUCAGUCUCAGGGAGCGUUUGCUUCUGUCUGUCUGUUUUUUGUUUGUUGUUGUUUUGUUUUAUGGCCAUGCCGUUGAUUCAAUGUAGCCAGUUGAGCAUUUUUAAUCGUGGAACUGGUUUGUCAAGCACAACUUAUCAAUGUCCCCUAACAACAGAAUAAAGUUAUGUUGAAUGACCUUGACUGGACUGCAAAAUACAGAAUGCCUGACACACACACGCACACACCUCGGCCAU